rnacentral:rRNA from 1 species
CUGCAGACGCCAGAUCUACCGAAUUAUCUAAUACCAAGACUAAAGAUGCGAUUCAAAGAUGUAGAGAAAGAAAAGGAAUUUUAUAACAGAUACGCCAGACACACUGGUUUUGGAAUCAGGAAGACGGGUGGAAAUGACAACCACAAGUAUUUUGUUUGCGCCUUCCAAGGGAUACACACAUCUUCUGUUUCAGAGGCCAGCAGGAAGCUAAACAAAACAUCACAGAGGACAGGCUGCAAUGCAAGAAUGAGGGUGAAGGUGUAGGAGGAUGGCACAUGCGUGGCAGUGGACAUUGAGUACAAUCAUAAUCACCAGCUCAUGCAAACUGAUGACAUGCUGUUGUUUUUGCACUCACACAAGAAUUAUGACCCCACUAUUUUGGAGUACGUAAAGCUCCUGCAGUACCAUGAUGUCAAGCACACAACAAUCAUGUCCAUGCUAUCUGAAAAUGAAGAUGGAAGCUACUUCCUAAGCAUGACCGGACGAGACCUGCUAAACCAGAAAGCCAUGAAUGCAAGGAAAGAUGAUUUGGAUGAUGUAUUGGAACUUGUUUCAUUCUUCAAAGACAUGAAGGCGAUAAAUGAUGAGUUUUUCUAUGACAUCCAAGUGGACAAGGACAAGUCAAUUAAAAACAUUUUCUGGUCCAAUGCAAGCUGCCGAGGAGCCUAUCAAGACUUCGACAAUUGUGUAACAUUCGACACGACUUACAAGACCAACAGAUUUCAUGUGCCCCUGGGAGUGUUUGUUGCAACAAAACAUCACUUGCAGCCAACGAUAUUUGCUAUUGCCCUGAUAAGAGACGAAGAUGCAAAGUCAUUCAAGUGGCUAUUCAAUACAUUUCUACGGUGCAUGAACAACAAGCACCCAACUUGCAUUCUAAUAGACCAAUGCCCAUCGAUGGCAAAAGCUAUACCACAAUCAUUUCCAAACACCGUCCACAAGCUAUGCCGUUGGCACAUCUUGAAGAAGUACAUGGAAUACCUCGCGUUGUUGUACAAAAAGUAUAAAACAUUCAAAGAGGAGUUCACAGCUAUAUUAAACUGGCUGCUGAUGCCAACGGAGUUUUAAGAUGCCUAGGCUAAACUCGUGCACAAGUACAACCUGGAGAAUGACCAGAUGAUGAUGCAGCUCUGGAGUGAUAGGAAGAUGUGGAUUUCAGCAUAUUACAAGAACAUUUUCUGUGCUAGAAUGACUUACACACAACAAAGCGAGAGCAUGAACUACGUGCUAAAGAAAGGAUUUGUCAUGGGGACCCAGAACCUACACAAGUUUGCUAGGCGGGUCAAUGCUUGCAUACAAACUCGGAUGCAGAAGCAGAACGAGCAAACAAUGACCAGCAUGGUAUGA